AAAAAAAAACCAUUGCAGUUCAUCUAUGAAAAUUGAGAAUUGGGCUAUUUCGGCUGCCACAACAACGGUGUCUUGGAUACAAUAGUUGCUCCAUGAAAUAUUUGUGCAAUCAAAUGAAACUUCAAUAUGUGAUAAUGUAGGUUCAACUUAAGAUAACAUAAAGGAAGCUACAAUUUCAAUACAUCUCCUUGCAAGGCUAGUUGGCCAAUAUUCUCAUAAAGUUAUUAUCUAAGGUUGUAAUUGAAUAAAACUACUUGUGAGCUAUUUAAGGCUUGACUCAAUAAAGAUUUGGCUUAACUUGAUUCUUUUUCUAAGUAAGCCAAGUUGAAGACUUAAGUUUUAGACUCGUUUAAUAAACUAGGUAAAAUCGAGCUUUUAAAUAUUCAGCUCAUUAAGACUCGAAAGCUCAUUUGUUUAUAGAUUUACGAGUCAACUCAUAAAUAUACAUAUUUAACUGAAAUUAUUUAGCUUUAAACUAAUUAUUUUUAAAUUAAAACUUGUUAAGGUUGUAAAUGAAUCGAUCUUCUUGUAAGGUAUGCGAGACUUGGCUUAUCUGAACUCAUUUGCUAAAUGAAUCAAGUUUGAGCUUAUUAAUACUCAAUUCGAGUUGUAAAGGAGCAUAGCUCUGUUAAAUAAUAAAAACUUUGUAAUUCUUAGAUGCAUGAAUAUAGACUAGUCUGUGGUUAAGUUCUUUGUGUCUAGCUAUUAAUGUGGUUUCAUAGAUACGAUUAAUGUUCUAAAAUAUCAAGAGUCACCUAGAAUAUCAAGAGUAAGAAGUGCUCAAGAGUCACUAUUAUGAACCUAUAAAUACCUCCAUAACUUAGUAAAAAAUGAGGUUAAAAAGAGAACCUCCAAAGUAUUUGCAGUACCAAUGGAGAAUGAAGAGCCCCUUGUUAUGAUUGUUUAAUUUAAGGCAAUAGUUAAAGAAAUUCUAGAAAAGUUAAGAUUAACUCUAGCAAAGUAUGUGUGUGAAAAAUUUGAACAAAAUCAUCAACUAAGUUUUCUGGCAAAGGUAAUAUUUGAAUACAAAUUUGGAUGGCAUGAACAACAUGGUUUCAAGGCACACACCAAGAAAGAAGUUGAAAAUGAAGUAGUUUUGCAUGUGGUAAGAUAUUUAAAAUGUUUCUAUAAAGUGGUCAUUAAUAAUGUAAAUGAAAUGCAAUUAUACGAAGCAAAAAAUAACUUGAAAUAUUUGAAAGAUGCAAAUAAGGCUUUAAUGAAAAUUUUGGAUGAAGUUAUGACUGAGCUACAUAAAUUGAAGGCAAAAACAGAAGAAAGAGAAUCAGAGGAAUCUGAAAAGUAAUAAAGAGGUGUUGCCAAUUUAAGCCGAAAGAAGAGUAGCAUUUCCAAUCUAAGUUUUUCUUCCAUGUUGCGGAGGUUAUGACGAAGCCUCUCAUAUUUGAAGAUUUUCAAAGGUUGAAAUCAUGUCUUGAGAUGGAGAAAUUCCAAACUAAGGAGGAGUAUUAAAUAAUAAAUAAUUUGUAAUUUCUAGAUAUAUGAAUGUAGCGUAUUGUGUGGUUAAGUUAUUUGUGUCGUAAAUAUAGUUAACGUCCUAUAAUAUCAAGAGUCACCUAGAAUAUCAAACAUUAGGAGCAUUCAAGAGCCACUAUUGUAUGCCUAUAAAUACCCCAUCAUAUUUGUGUUUUGGUGAAAGAGUGGAGCCUAAUAGAGAGUGUUCUUAUUGCUUGUAACAUAUAUAUGCUUUCAUAUUUCCUUUCUCUUCCUAAUAUUUCCUUGGGUAAUAUCUCUUCCCUCUUCAAUAAAGUUGUAUAAGAGGUUUUCUCUCUCUAACAAAGUGAUAUCAAAGCAUUUCUAAGAAAUUAGUAAUAAAGCCUAUCUUAUUUUCCUAACGAGCUCAAAUUUGUCUUGAUCUUAGAAAUAUUAAGGUGAAUCUAAUUUAAACUCUUCAAAUCUUAACUAAGCUUAGUUCAUUUACACCUCUACCAUUAUCAAGAAUUAAGGUAUACUACUCUUUAAACCAAGUUAACAUUUCUAAUAUUGGAUAGUUACACAUUAAGAGAGGUAUAAUAAGGUGAUAAGGAUAACUCACCUACGUAACUAGUGUAUUUUUUUAUAGACAUUUUAACCAUAUAGUUAAGUUUCUUCCAAAAAAAAUCUCUACAUAAGUUUGUAUUCAUUUAUUACAUAAUGCAUCAAAUAGCUUUUGCAUCUUAUGCUGCUCAAUUCUUUGCAAUUGGUUGGUUAUGCCACAAUAGUCAGGAGGCAUUUAUGCGAAGCUAGUAUUCUCUUCUCAAGUAACUUUCUAUGUAUUCUUAUGUCCUUUUUCUAUUUUUUUGUAAAGGAUUAUUUUAUCCUUCUAUUUUAAUAGUCUUCUUUUGUUGUUUAUUGUGUUAUUGAUAUGGUUUUCCAGAUUUUUCACCUAACAUGCAUCAUCUUAGUUUGAGUGUAUAGAAGCCUACCAAAAUCUUAGUAGGAUGUGGUAUGCUAAUCUUUUUCUAUAUAUUAUAUUAAUAAAAUUCCUUGCCUAUUGAUAUCAUAGCUCAAAUUAAGCAUUAAAUUAGAUAAUAACAAAACUCAACUAGAAUUUAUCUAACAAUAUCUCAAAUUGUGUGUGAUAACCGCAGGACUUCUUCUACCUGGGGCGAGGCCGGGCUCAAGAGAAGAACACUAGCCCAAAACCCAUCAAGCCCACCUUAAGCAGACCGACCCAGCGUCUCGAGCUCUAAUCCGGACAUGCGGGGCAAGCCGGGCUUAUCGUAGACUCGGGUCCAACAGGAAGUAGUCCAGCCCAGUGAUGUGACGUGAAGGAGAAAAGCUAGCCCAGUCACUUUGCAGCCCUACCCGCAUGCACGUCGGGAGAAUUAAAUGGCUGCUUGGUAUGAAGAGGGACCCUGACACACCUGUAUGUACGAUCUUAGUGAUAGGGACAUAUGGCACUAUAGCAGAGAAGCGGUUAGGCAUCACUAGCUGACUAAAGGAAAAGGGAUAAAAGGGGAGGAACGUCUUCUUCUCCCUCCAAGCUCACACUACCACUGUAAACCCUACUUUUUGGAUCUCAAAACAUCAGUGUGCAAAGAUUCUUCCUAGGUAUAAUUGAAUUCUUGAUAUCAUGUUGGAAUUGACUACAAGUAAAGGAUUUUUAAGAAAAAUACAAGAAGAACCAAAAUCAAAAGAAGCUGGAAAGAUACCUUUAAAGCUACAUUAAAGAUUAUUGAACCUUAGAAAAUAGGUCUAUAAGUGAUAGGACUAAUGUAUACAGGUAACAGAAAGUAUUGCCAAUGAUAUGUUAGCACCUCAAAUUUCAAAUUUGAUCCCUUUAGCAAGUAUUUUGGACCCGUUUUGAAUCUUUUAAAGUCAAAAACAUUUUCUCUUUGGACUUGACAAUUAAACUCUUAGUUUGCUAACUAAAUUGCUAUUAUUAGUUGUUUGCUAAGUAGUUUGCUACUGUCUUAAAAUUCUAUCUCUACACAAAUUUACCAUUAUCCAAAUGUCCUAUAAAUGGUCAUAAAUGCUCUUGGACUAUAAAUACUUCAAUUUUACAUCAUUAUGUGCUUAAUAAAUGUCUUAAAAUGGUCCUAUUCUUUGAGAUCAUCGGUUCCGUUCAAAGUGUUUCAAUUUUGUUUGUUGAGCUUCAUUAGUAGACCUAUUUUGUCUCGUCUUCAUAAUUGAUGAUUUUAUUGAGUGAGUUGAGUGAAAAUUAAUCCACAAUGUCAUUUAUGAGGGUUGUUUAAGCACCUAGAGAAAUUGAAAAAGAGUGAGUUAGAAGUCACUUACAAAGGGUUGUGAGCACCUAGUGAAGGCUUAUUAUUGUAAAAAGCAUAUCUUAUCCAAUGAAAAGAGAAUAUAAUGAAGUAAAGAUUCAAAGUGAAGCUUUGAAAGAGUGGACAUAGGCUAGUUAUAGCAUAAACAAUAAGAAAGUCUUUGUGUUCAUUUCUCCAAGCCCUACUCUCUUUGCUUUAUUUCAUUUUAUUGAGUUAUAUUGAGAUUGAGGAAUUGAUUGUAAUUAGAUUUGGGUGCUUUAGUGAAAACUUCAUUGAGUUAAGCAUAUUUAUCUUUGUUCAUAUUGUUUUGUGCUGCUUUAGGUUACUUCCAUAUUCUAGAUUGAACAUCUUGUGAAAUAUAUAUGCUUGUUUGAAGUGAUUGGCACAUCUACCACAAUUAAGCACACUUAAUUGAUUUUAGCCUCAAUUCUUUAAAAGUAUCAAUAAAGAGUUGAAAAAUUGACCCCUAAGUAGUUUCAUUGGAGUUUUCUUCUAAUAAGAUGAGUUUGAGAAAAAUAUUUCAACAAAAUGGGUGAAAGGAAAAAUACUUCCUUAAUAAGGAUGAUUUUGGACAAUAAAUAAUAAGUCAAGGGUCAAGUCACUCUUCAAAAUCACGAUUUGCCCUUUAACGUGUGAUUGGCUAAAAAACUAUUUGACCUAAUUUUAAAGUUCUAUAUUCCAAUAAUACAAUCAUAAUAACUAAGACAGAUUUAGAAGAAAGGACAUAAUGGCAACUUGUCCCUUGCAGGAUCCAUUACCCCUCUUCACCAUGAGCCCAACAACCUAGGUUCCAUCUACCAAAGUCAUCAUCCAAUAAUUUUGGUGCAUGAAAUUGUUUGGAACCUAAAAUUACUCGUCUAUCUAGCUUGCUAGACAACUCCAUCUUUAUCUUAGUGGUCAACCAUUAAAGGGCUAGAAGAGGGUUGCACUACAUGGCUUAAAAGUACUUUGUUGAUGAGCGUUCGUGUGGAUCAAAGGUCAACGUUUGAGGCUCUCGGUUCUCAUGGUGAGAGAAAUGAUUCUAUACAACAAGAGAUAAGUAGACCUCUAAUUAUAAAAUAGGUUUUCUCUCUUUUACAUUUCUCAAAAUGGUUGAUGGGCUUAAGUUUCAAUUUGGAAGACAUAAGAGUUGCAUCUAGUUGUGUAUUUGUAAACUAUUUUUGUAAUACCCGGCUAGACACCGGCAUCGAAAUUCUGACUUUCCGGCGGAACGCCGUUGGAAUAUGGAAUUUGAGGAUGUCGGAGGUGUCAAAAAGGGUUAAAAAGAGUUUUUUUUCAAAAUGUGUUAGAAGUGUUCUAUGGUUUUGAAUGCAAAGGAUUGGAGUUUUGAAAGAAAAGACCAAGGGGACAAAGUGCAGGUUCGGCCGCCGAACAUUGCAUGGUUUCGCCCGCCGAAGGAAAAAUUUGGCUGCCGAACAUUGUAUGAUUUUGCAUGCAGGUUUGGCCGCCGAAGGAGAGGCGGUCAGCCAGCUAUAAAGGACCCUCAGUCGAUGAAAUGGAUAAGAGUUGCUUCCCUUUCACUAACAGAGGUGAGUUCUUGUUCUCCUUGGAUGGUUUUCAUGGUUUUUCUUCAAAUCUUUCAAAGUUAAGCAAGUUGUAAGUAAGUUUUGUGUAAGAGUUUAGAGCUUAGAGACUUUUGGAGCUUGGAUCUCCAUAACUUCAAGUUUGGGGUCACACCAGCCUUUGGUCUUCACGAGGUAUGUUUUCUAGUGUUUUAUAGUAUGAGUUUUAUGAUCCCUUGACCCAACCGUGAGGGAAGAAAGGGUUUCAAUCCCUUGAUCCACAGCGGUCAGUAGUCACUGGUGUAGGCCCUGAGGGCUGUUUCAGAUUUAUAUAUCUGAGUGAUAGUAGUUAAGCCUGGUAGUUUUACAGGAUUGUUGAUUAUGUUUGUUUGAUCAUGUAUGGGAUUUAUCAGGUGCACAGAGUGUUUAGUAGGCUUGCUACGGGUUUCGGCGGCCUUAAGCCGACCUGGAUCCUAGCGUCGGUGGCGGUCCGAUUUUCGGGUCGUUACAAUUUUAUCAUGGAACUUGAAUUGGCAAUGAGCUUGACACUCUAGAUUAACUAAGUUACAUUAUUUUAUGCAUGCGCUCUCCAUUGUGCAUUUUCAUAUAUACACAUAUAAGAAGAAGUUUUUUCUAUUAUUAUUUUAUUUGUAAAUAGUUAAUAUAAUCUUUAUGAUCUAGAUAUAAGAUAAGUAAGGAGAUAAGUGUUGAUAGGUAAGGGAAAACCCAUAUGUGCCUUCUUCCUCUAAAAGUCUCAUGUCCCAAUUAAUCAAAAGCUACAAAGAGAGCAAAAGGAUAAGGGCGUGCGAAGAGACAAUGGUCAUGGUGAAUGGUGCUAAAGAAUUUAGUGAUGACAAGACUACACUGAUGUUGAAGUGAAUAGUGCUUGAAGUUUUGGUAAAGAACAAUUAAGAUAGAGGCUUAAGAGAGUUAAAGACGUAAUCAAGAGAAGCAAUUUAGAGAAAGAGAAUCCAUAUAGCAUAAGAGGUAUUAUAUAAUUCGUUAUAGUUCGUUUCGAACUACUCAUCUUACAAAUAAAAAUAAAAUAAAAUGAAUUAUGCAUGAUUUUAAUUUAUUUUAGAAUCAAUUUUUUUAGUUAAAAUAUAGUUAAAUUUUUCCAUUUUAAUAAUAAGAUUGAUAAAAAAAAAAUCAAUUGAAUUUAAUUUUAGUAAUUUCUUUUUCAAAUAAAGUGUUAGAAAUAAAGGAGAGGAGAGAUAAAUGUAGAAUUGAUAUGUUAGCAAGUAGUUACUUUAGGUAUAACUUUAUUGUUCAAUCAGCUAUUAUGCAGGAUGAUGCUAAAAUUUAGGUCAUAGUAUUGCAAACCCCUUAAAUUUAGGAAUACUGUUUAAAAUUUAUCAAUGUUUUCUUCCACAUGGCACAUUUUACCAUUUUUUUGAUCGAUAUGUUUCUCCAGUUUUAAUAAAUGUGUCGGUUGAUCCUAAUUUUAUUUCUUAAAUCCUACACAUCUAUUUGAAAAAUAAACCUCUCACGUCAUCUAUGUUUAACUAAAAACAUAUAUACAAGUUUAGUGUAUGCAUGUAUAUAUAUAAGUAUCAUACCCAAUUAACAAUAGUAUUGCCUUGUUUAUCUGAAAGUUCUCUUCCAGUAAUCAGCUCUAGGAGUACAACGCCAAAAGAAUAGACAUCUGAUUUCUCUGACACUCUUUGUUUAUCACCAUAUUCUGGAUCUGCAUAACUAUAAUAGAAAAAUUCACUAAGAUUUUGUGUCAUCUAAUAUAUCAUUUCAUCUCUGAUUUUGAUAUAAAAAAACCAGUGGACAUCUAAACCUUUUUCAGUUAACAUUUAAUAAAUAAUCUAUAUAAAAAAAUAUUACUCUUUAACUCCUCUAUUUUGAGGUUCGUUAUACUUCUGUAAAAUAUAAUAAUUUAAAAUACAUGUUAAGAAAAUUUAUUUUAAUCUUGAUUAAAGACUAAAUACUAUCAAUAUUUAAAUUUAUAAAUAUUAAAUAAUAUAUAUAAUUAAAAUUAUAUAAAUAAAUUAAUGGAUUUUUUUAUAAAAAUAAAAUAAAAAAUUUAAUUCUAUAAAAUAUAAAAAAUUUUUAAUAAUAUAAUUUUCAAAUAAAAAUAAAUUAAUGAAUUUUGAAAUUUAAUAAUAAUUUUAUUCUUAUUUAUUUAGAAUUUGAAAAAAUUUAGACUCUUGCUCUAUAUUUAGGUGCGAGUAGUGUUCGAUUCAAACGGAAAAAAUUGACCGAAUCAAAUUAAUUUAAAAAUUCAAUUUGAUUUUUUAUUCAUUUCGGUUCGAUUCGGUUUAGUUUUUAAUUUUAAAAUUUUCAAUUAUUUCGAUUCAGUUCAAUUUUAAUAAGAAAAAACUAAAAAAAUCAAACCGAACCGAUUAAUAAUAAUAGUAUAUUAUUUUCAAUAAUAUAAAGAGAUUAAAUUAUAUUAAAAUUAAAAUAUUUCAAUUAAAUUUUAAAAUAUUAAAAAUAAAAUAUAAAUAAUAACAAAAUUAUUAAAAAUUUAAAUCGAACCGAAUCAAAUCGAAUCAAAUUAAUUCAAUUCGAUUCAAUUUCUGAUCAAAAUCGAUUUGAUUUAAUUUUUAUAAAUAUUAAAAUUUUAAUUUUCGAUAUAUUCGCUUCGAUUCAAUUUUCAAUUUGUCGUUGCUAACUACCAACUACCAACUACCAAGUGGUUAUACUUCAAUAAAUAAUGACUAAGAAAAGAAUAUUUUCUUACAUGUUGGUUCACCUUAGUAUACUGCUGAUAUGGUUAAUAUUACCCGUAUCAGGCAAAAAAUUUGCCAGUGAAAAAUCUGCAAUCUAAAACAAUGAUUUAUACAAUUAAGUAGAUUUUUUGGCAUAUAAUUUAACAUUAAAAAAUCGGAACAUAAUAAAAUUAACUUACGUCCAGAUAUCAAAUUAAAGUAGCACAAUUUUUUUUUUAAUAUCUCCUAGCAUUUAACUUAUUGUAUAAAUGCUGAACUUAUAUUUAUUAUGAGAGUACUAUACCUUUGGUUCAAAAUUAUCACUGAGAAGAAUAUUAUCUGCUUUAAUAUCUCGAUGUAUAAUUUUAGGUUUACUUGAAAUAAUAAUUCGAAUUGAAACAUUAAAUAAAUUGUCUAACACAUAAAACAAAUUAUUUUAAUUAGUCUCAAUAGCUAAUUAUAAUUUACAAAGUAGUGAAAUUACUCACAUUCUUCAUGCAGAUAAAGCAAUCCUCUGGCAGAGUUUAUUGCGAUUUUUAUUCUUUUCGACCAUUCCAAAAGCUUGUCUUCAUCUGUAUAAAUAUAUGUAAAACCUCACUUCAAAAUUGAACCAAGUCAAAAAAUAAUAAAUCAUUUUAUUCAAUCCCAUUCAAUUCUUGAUUUUGUUGUUAUUUUAUCCAAGAAGCAUUAAUUAUCUGGAAUUUCUUUGGGGAAGUGAAAAAAAUAUAUACAAACUCAUGAGAAUUGCAUCAAUAAAAUUAAGAAUCAAAGUUCAAUUUCAUCCAGAAUUUACAAUCGAAAGUUAAUAAUAAUAAUAAUAAUGAUCAUCCGUACUACUAAGGCAUACAAUCGAAAAGAUUUAACUGAUGGAUGAGAAGAGAUUAGCAGUAUUUGGCCUCUGAUUUCAGGGGCAGCAAGUUUGGAAUAAAAAUUUUCAUAAUAAUUCAAUUUUUUUCAAUCAAUUCUUUUAAUUAGAAUGGAAGAAUUCAUUCUUUUUGGACUCAGGUAAUUUUAAUUUUCAAAAGAAAUGAAAUUAUGUAUAUUUUAGUAAUAAUUCUUUUGAAUUAUUUUCUGAAAAAAUGAAUCGGGUAAAAAUUGAAUCCGUCCGUUCAAUUUCUUCAUUACAAUUGAAAUAACUCAGCCCAAUAUCAGUGCAUGAAAAGGCACUCACCAUGUAGAUGAUGUCUCAAAGACUUGUUGGGAACAAACUCUAAAACAAGCAAUUUAUCUUCUCCUUCACUGCAGUAUCCAAUCAUCUUAACGAUAUUUGGAUGGCGCACAACGCUAAGGUACUCAAUCUCCUCCAAUUUAUUCUCCAGCUUUACUAUUUUAAGUUUCUUUAUAGCAACAUCAUCAUCAUCUAAGGAUGCCUUAUAGACUAUCCCAAAACCACCCUCGCCAAUGCGGUGUACAUUGGAGAAAAAACGAGUUGCUUUUGCUAGUUUUUGGUAUUCAUAUCUCUUAAAUCCAUAUGAUUGAGCAAUCUCCGAGGCUGCUGGUGCAUCACGACUUCCAUUCUUAUCAGAAUAUGGUCCACAUUCAGCCGCAUAUGUAACCACUGACUGCUCAGGCAACGGUGCUGUAUUAUCUAACCAAGUUGUAACAUGCCAGAAUUAGUUAGAGGAGAAAGCAAAAAUCAGUGAAGAUACUAUCCCCAAGUACAGCUUCUAGUAAGAAAUGAAAUGAAUCCUUCAUGGAACCCAGCAAAAAAGAGCAUCAGUUUAGUUAUGGAAGAAAUAACAUAAUUCAAGAGCCUCUACGCUCUCAUAUUACUUUGGAUUCAUUGAACAGUGUCAGCUAAAACAGUAUACCUUUAAUGUCAUUGAGGCUAUCUGCCUGCGCAUUGCUCUUGCUCAAGAAGCAGCCCAUCAAAACCUGCGGAGUAGCUGCAGUUUUUCUUUUCUGACCACUGAUAGGGGAAGAGAAGAAGCGACGGCGAUGGUUACGGGAUGAGCAUGAGCGCCGAGAAGAUGAGAGGGUGGACUACGGAAGAGAAAAGAGAGCUUAGUCUUUAGGGUGGGCUCUGGGCAGGGGAAUAGUUUGAAAUAAUCUCAACCAUUCAAUCUCUAAUAUAUAAACAUUCUUUUCCAAUACCCUAUCUUUUAUAGCCGUGCUGUAAGCUCAUAAUACUAGAGUCGCAAUAAAGUCGCAGCCCUACAUCAUCGCAGCAUCAACCCCGCAUGCCACAACUCCAUUGCUGUGUUUUUUUUUUCAAUUUAUUUUUUGAACAUGUAAUGUUGUUCAUACUAAUCUUGGAGGGCCAUAUCAAACACCAUCACUUAAAAGGCAGUAAGUAUUAUAUUGCCUUUAUUGAUGAUUUAACUUGAAUGUGCUGGAUAUAUUUUUUCAGAUUCAAAUCAGAAGUGGCUGGAGUAUUUUCGAGAUUCAAAACAUGGACUGAAAAUCAAAGUAAAUGUAAGAUGAUGAUGUUAAUGACUCGUGGUUGUCGAAACCGAUUAAAAAUAACAUUUCCGGUUAUCAACAAUAUUAAUACUGCAGAUAGUGGUAAAGGAUCGAAUCCACAGAGAAUUGAUAACUUAUCUAUUUUCCUCAACAAGACCAAGAGUAUUAACUGAAAGUGCAACUGAAAGCAAGUAACUUAAAACGGAACAAAAAUAAAGUGUAAUAAAAAUAAAAAGGGAGGGCUUGAGAUUGAUUUGAUUAGCAAACUACUGAAAGCAAUUAAAUGAGCAAGUAAUUAAAAUAAAAGAAAAAUCUAAUAUGAGAAAAGUCUAGUUGAAGAGAUGGAUCCACUUUGGUUGUUUGGAUUGAUCAUUGAAACUUACGUUCUCUUGAUUGUUUCAAUAGAUUAGUUAUAGAGAUGGAAAACGCUUCUCACCACCAUGUCUCUCCUUAUGAUUAAAUCAAUUAGGGAACGUCCUCUAAUGAAUUACUAAUUAACAAAUUGCCAAUGAACGUCCUUGGGCCUUAGGCAUCAAAAUAGAGAGAUCCAAUCCUAGCUACUCAAACGCAUGAGAUGUUGCUAGAUCAUACAAUUCCUUAGUUGUUACACCAAGUGUUCUUAUGUUUGAAUAAUUCCAGCAAUUACGGACUAAAAAUUAUCCCAACUAGCAAUCAAUUACCUUGCAAUCAAGAACCAAGUGGCCAAUUUGAUCAAAACAACAAAGUAACAAUGGAUUCAAGCACCAAAUUAUAUGAAUAUUGAACAAACCAAAGACAAAUAGUUUAUGUUCAGAUCUCACAAUCCAUAAAACAACCUCAGUUUCAACCAAUCUUUAACUAGAAUUAAAGGUUUCAACCACUCAUGACUGAAACAAAACAGAAAAUAAAAGGAAAGAACUAGAGAAGAUGAACCGAAUUAGUGGAGAAGCUUGCUCCUAGCCUUGGCCGAAUGGGAGAGAUGGAAGGGGAUGAAUGGAUUCUGUCGUGGCUGGCCUUUUAGGAGUCUUUAAAUAUGUUUCAAGAUGCUGAUCUAGGGUUUCUUGGCUGUCCAUGAGUUUUUAAGAGGCUGCCCAAAUUGCCCUUGACUUUUACUUGCACUUUACCUUGCCGCCCAUGCACAUGUGUGAGGGUGUGGCGUGUGGCUUGUUUUCAAUUGCAAGGAGUGGGUCUUUUGGUCUUUGCUUGCUGCCCUAGUGUCUUCAAGAUGCUGCCCAAAGUGCCCAAAACUUGCCUUCACACCAUUCUUGCCGCCCAUGCACAGAUAAGGAAGGUGGAGCCUUCCUUUGCAAUUUAAAUUUUGAAUGUGCAAAGCAUGUGUGGCAUAUGUGACUUCUUUGGCUUCUUUGGUAACCUGAAUCUUGAAAUUCAAAAUUUAAAUAUAAAUCUUGAAUAUUUGAAUUUCAAAAUACUUUCCUUAUUUAACUCUUCUUUCAUGGCAACUUGAGACUUGGCUUCUUGAAUAAGGAAAAGGCUACUUAGAGAUUUGAAAUUUGAAUUUCAAAUUGCUUUAGCUGAAUGUUCUUUCCUUCUUUGCCACUUUUCUUAUUUAGAACUUUCCUUAUUUAGCUUCACUUAAUUUCAACUUGGCAGGCUUGCUUCCUUUUGCUCCAUUUAAGGCAGUUUUAAGGGUAUUUUCUCCAAAAUGUCCUUUUUCACUAAUUUCUGCAAAAUAAUAUCAAAAGCACUAAAUUAAGCAGAAAUCAUGUAAAUAAUCGUCAAUAAUAUCAAGACAAAAUGGACUAAAAUAUGCUCUAUCAAAUACCCCCACACUUAGCCUUUUGCUUGUCCUCAAGCAAAUAAACAUAGUCAAACAAGCUUUCUUUGCUACUUGAUCCUUAUUUCCACUUAACCUCUUACUCUAGACACCUAUUUUGAAUCAUUGCAGUGAAGAAUAUAUGCAUCAAGGUUACUCACCUUCUUUCCUUGUUUCCCUUUGCUUACCAUGGCUAGGAUUUGUUUUCCUCAAGAGAGAGAUCAUACAUGCACAUAUUAUUUGUUCAGAUAAGACUUUUUCUAGCUUUCAGAGUGACUUGCCCUUACCUUGAAGUACUUUAUUCAGCCUUUUUGCACUUUAAUCUUGCUUGAAAAAAUCACCAACCUUUUGAUGCGAAGGUAUAUAUUUUCAGUUGGUCACCUUUCCAAGUGGCUACUAGCUCUGUUCAUAGUUUUUCAACCAUUGGAACAGUUUUUUUUUUGUGCUUUUGAAGUCUAAGCCUUCGUUGAAUUUCUUUCUCUCAAUGAUUUGGGCAAAUCAACACCAAUUGCUAAAGUCAUGUUAAGUUCAUUCACACAAUUUUCAAUUUAUUCUCUCUAAUAAGUGUCAUCAAUAUAUUUUUCACCAUGGCAAGCUCAAAAAUUCAAUUCAAAAGGCAAUUCUCAAACAUGAAUAUAACUCACUGCAAUUGAUUCAAUAUAAGUUUAAAAAGUCAUCACAUCAAUGGGGUCAUAGAAAGAAAAGCUGAUCCAACAUAGUUAAUCAGUUUGAGUAGAGCAAAUCAAAAAGAAGAAGAAGGUUGUGGUUAUGUGUGUGUUAUUGAAAGCAUGAAUGAAAACAAACUAAAGGGAAAACUGUAAGCAAAAAUUUGCAUGAACUGAAAUAAAAUAAAGCAGAAGUCGCAAAUCUUAAAGAAAAAGAAAAAAAUUUCACAGAUCUAAAAUGAAAAAGAAGAAGAAAGAGGAAGAGAAGAAGGAGAGAUAUGCACCCCCACACCUAAAUCAUGCAUUAUCCUCAAUGUGUAAAAAAAACAUAAAAGAACAAAGGAAACUGAGUACUCCCCUGGGGUGUGGUAAGCAUGGUGUGAUUCCUUAGGCAGAAUGAGUGAUGAACAGAUGUUCGUCUGGGAAGUCUUCCUUGACUGGACAAGGUGUAGAGCUAGAUGGAAGCCGGCUGAGGUGGUCGGCUACAAGAUUUUUUUUUCCCUUUCUUGUCUCUUAUCUCCAGAUCAAACUCUUGUAAUAAAAGUAUCCACCUAAUGAGUCUUGGUUUGGUCUCUUUUUUCUUGAUCAGAUAUCGCAAAGCUGCAUGGUCAGAAUAGACGAUGACUUUGGUUCCCAAGAGAUAUGGUCUGAAUUUUUCUAAAGCAAAUACAACAGCUAAGAGCUCCUUUUCUGUUGUUGUGUAGUUGCUUUGUGUAGCAUCCAGUGUGCGAGAGGCAUAGUGAAUGACGUGGGGUGAGUUCCCCACACGUUGUCCCAAGACUGCUCCCACUGCAUAGUUGCUUGCAUCACACAUGAUUUCAAAAGGCAAAUUCCAAUCAGGUGCUUGAAUAAUUGGGGCAGUCACAAACAAUUUCUUUAUCAGAUCAAAUGCUGUUUUGCAACCUGCAUCAAAAUCAAAUGUCACAUCUUGUUGGAGCAAUUUACAUAAAGGCUGAGUGAUUUUUGAGAAGUCCUUUAUGAAUCUCCUGUAGAAUCCUGCAUGACCAAGGAAAGAACGGAUUUUUAAACAUUUGUAGGAUAAGGCAGAUUUUUAAUGGUAUCUACCUUAGCCUUGUCUACUUCAAUUCCUUUAGCUGAAACAACAUGUCCUAAAACCAUACCUUGAUUAACCAUAAAAUGACAUUUUUCAUAAUUAAGUACAAGGUUAGACUCAAGGCAUCUCUGUAGGAUCUUUUCCAAGUUGGCAAGGCAUUCUUCAAAGGAGUUGCCAUGCACUGUGAAGUCAUCCAUGAACACUUCAAUUGUCUUACCCACAUAGUCAGAGAAUAUGCUCAUCAUGCAUCGCUGAAAGGUGGCAGGUGCAUUGCAUAAUCCAAAUGGCAUUCUUCUAAAGGCAAAAGUGCCAAAAGGGCAAGUGAAGGUGGUUUUCUCUUGGUCCUCUGGAGCAACUGGAAUCUGAUAAAAACCUGAAUAACCAUCAAGACAACAGUAAUGGGACUUACCUGCAAGUCUUUCUAGCAUCUGAUCAAUGAAAGGUAGAGGGAAAUGGUCUUUCCUUGUGGCUGCAUUUAGCUUCCUAUAGUCCAUGCACACUCUCCACCCAUUUUGAAUUCUUGUGGGAACAAGUUCUCCUUCAGCAUUUGGGACAAUACUAAUCCCAGUUUUCUUUGGGACUACAUGCACGGGACUCACCCAUUUGCUAUCAGAGAUUGGGUAGAUAAUACCUGUAUCAAGGAGCUUAACUAUUUCUUUCUUCACUACCUCCAUCAUAGGUGGAUUCAAUCUUCUUUGAGCAUCUCUGACUGGCUUGCAUUCCUCUUCUAUGUAUAUUCUAUGCAUGCAUGUGGAAGGAGAAAUGCCUUUUAUGUCAUCAAUGAUCCAUCCUAUGGCUCCUUUGUGUUUCUGCAGUACUUUCAAGAGGCUUGCUUCUUCAUGUUGGCUCAAUUCAUUGGACACUAUUACUGGUAGUGUCUUGUCAGCUCCCAAGUACAUGUAUUUCAGAUGGCCUGGAAGAGGCUUUAGAUCUGAUUUUAAUGCUUUCUGACUUGUUUUCUGCGUUGGAUAUGUUUUAGCUCUACCUUGCGCAAGGCUUGACUGCAAAGGGGGACUGGAAGAGCUCGCUUGCGUUGGCGACUGAGGAGGUGCGAUCGGAAGCUGAAAGGGUGUGUUGGUGGUGGAGUCAGUCUGCGCAAGGCCUUUCUGAGGUGGUGCGACAGAGUUUUCUUCAAUCUGUGCUUGACUGCAAUUUACCGGUUGGAUGCUACAGACUGUCUCUUUCAAUUUUGGCUCUUUCUGGCUCUCAUUCCUGCAAAGAUCAUCAUUCAGAAUACAAUCUUGAUUCUCAUCAAAUAUUUCUUGGCUCAAGCAGUCAAUAAUAUCAAGACCAUAAACAGAGGACAUAUCAUGUGGAUAUUUCAUAGCAUCAUAGACAUUAAAUUUAAUGACUUCCCCUUCAAACUCCAUAGUCAAUGUACCAUCAUGCACAUCAAUCUUAGUCCUAGCAGUACUCAAGAAAGGACGUCCAAGAAGGAUAUCAGAACUAGUAUUGUAACUUUCUUCCUUAGUAUCAAUCACAUAAAAAUCUGCAGGAAAGACAAGUUCAUCUACUUGAACUAACACAUCUUCUAGAACACCUAUGGGAUAUACCACAGAUAUAUCAGCUAGUUGAAUCACAACUUUUGUGUCUUUCAGUGCACACGCAUUCAAAGAAUUAUAAAUGGAAAGAGGCAUAACAUUUAUGGAUGCACCAAGAUUACACAUAGCUUUCUUAAUUCCUACAUUCCCUAUAUUGCAGGAAAUAGCAAACAUACUUUUAUCCUUGCAUUUAGUAGGGAGCUCUCUCUUAAUAACAGCCGUAACAACUUCACCUACACUUACUUUCUCUCUUUUAGCUAGCUUUCUUCUAUUGGUACACAGUUCUUUCAGAAAUUUUGCGUACCUGGGAAUCUACUUAACAGCAUUUAACAGAGGUAUGUUGAUUUCCACUUUUCUGAAAGUCUCAAGGAUAUCCUUUUCUUCCUUUUCUUUUUGUGUUCUUUCAAAUCUUUUUGGAAAAGGAGGUGGAAUGCAAAAGCUUACUUUUUUAUCAGUCUUCCACGCAGGUGGUGUUUCAGAUUGCGCUGGAGAGGCUUCAGGUUGCAUUGGUUCUUGUGCAAAUGGUGUUUCAGAUUGCGCAGGUGGUGCUCUUCCAUUAGUAUUGACCUCUUGUAGCUCCUUCCCACUUCUCAAAGUAAUGGCACUGACAUUCUGUCUGGGGUUAGUUUCAGUUUGAAAAGGAAGCUUACCUUGGGAUUCAACUUUGCUCAUGAAUGCGGUUACUUGUCCCAUCUGUUGUUGGAGAGUCUGCACAGAGCUUGUAAGUGUCUCCAUCAUCUUUUCGAGGUGUUGAUUUGAACUUGAAGGUGCUGGUUGGGCUUGAUUCCUGUAGUAGUUUUGAUAGUUCUGAUUAUUGUUAGCCCUUUCGUAGCUGAAAUUGGGAUGGUCUCUCCAGCCUGGAUUAUAUGUGUUGGAAUAUGGAUUAUGUCUAGGCUAGUUGUUAUAUCCUCCAAUGGCAUUAACUUGCUGGUUGUCUUCUUGAAGAGUAGGACACUGAUCAGUUGGAUGUCCUACAUAUGCACAAAUCCCACAUGGCCUAGGUGGCUGGGAUGCUUGAACCUGUUGAACUAGUCCAAUGGCAAAGUCUUUCAUAAAAGAUGUCAGUUCAGAGAUAGAAGGUGAACUUACCUCAUUGACUCUUCUCUGCAGUUGUUUUUCUUCUCCAUAUUGCCUAGAUGAGGCUGCAAGUGUUGAGAUCAACUCUCUCAUCUCCCUAGGUGUCUUGUCUGCAAUGGAUCCUCCACAGGCUACAUCAAUGAAUCUUCUUUCUGAAGAAAGCAGUCCUACAUAGAAGAAUUCUAUGAGUGCCUUAUAUGAAAUAUCAUGUUGAGGACAACCUGUACACAAACUUUUAAACCUUUCCCAAUAAUCAUAAAAGUCCUCAGAUAGUUUCUAUCUAAUGCUACUGAUUUCUCUUCUUAUACCAAUAGCUUUAUGAGUUGGGAAAUAUUUAUUCAAGAAGGUUAUUACCAUGUCAUCUCAAGAAGUAAUAGAUCCAGGAGGUAAGUAAAACAGCCAAUCCUUAGCAUAAUCAUCAAGUGAAAAAGGAAAAACUCUUAACUUAACAUGAUCUUCAGAAAUAUCUUGAGGUCUCAUAGAUGAAUAGACAAUAUUGAACUCUUUCAAGUGUUUGUGUGAAUUUUCAUUUUCUAAUCCUCUAAACUUACGGAGGAGAUGAAUCAAACCUGUUUUCAGUUCAAAGGGAACUGUCAGAGGUGGAUAGGUGAUGCAAAGUGGUGCUUGAUCGCCUAUAGGUGUUGUCAAUUCUCUCAUGGUUCUUUCUCUUGGCAUUGGUGUUCUCAUGGUUGGAUUUUCUUGAAUUAUUUGGUCUUGGACAGCAUGUCCAUUAUGGGCAGCAUGUUGUGCACGAUGUUCAGCCAUUGGUGUGGCUUGAUGGUGCGGUUGGAGUGUUUCAGAUGAAGCUUCUGCGCAGGGCACUCCUUCAGGUGCGAUGGGAGCUUCUUCAAGCGGGACUGCUUGCUUUCCUAGUCUUCUGAGAGUGGUCAUGAAAGAAAAAUAAACAAGUUAGAACAAUUCUCCGGCAACGGUGCCAAUUUUUGACUCGCGGUUGUCGAAACCGGUCAAAAAUAACAUUUUCGGUUAUCAACAAUAUUAAUACUGCAGAUAGUGGUAAAGGAUCGAAUCCACAGAGAAUUGAUAACUUAUCUAUUUUCCUCAACAAGACCAAGAGUAUUAACUCAAAGUGCAACUGAAAGCAAGUAACUGAAAGCGGAACAAACAUAAAGUGCAAUAAAAGUAAAAAGGUGGGGGUUUGAGAUUGAUUUGAUUAGCAAACUACUGAAAGCAAUUAAAUGAGCAAGUAAUUAAAAUAAAAGAGAAAUCUAAUAUGAGAAAAAUCUAGUUAAAGAGAUGGAUCCACUUUGGUUGUUUGGAUUGAUCAUUGAAACUUAUGUUCUCUUGAUUGUUUCAAUAGAUUAGUUAUGGAGAUGGAAAACGCUUCUCACCACCAUGUCUCUACUUAUGAUUAAAUCAAUUACUAAUUAACAAAUUGCUAAGGAAUGUCAUUGGGCCUUAGGCAUCAAAACAAUUGUCAAUUGCAUGAAAAAAUAGAGAGAUCCAAUCCUAGCUACUCAAACGCAUGAGAUGUUGCUAGAUCAUACAAUUCUUUAGUUGUUAUACCAAGUGUUCUUAUGUUUGAAUAAUUCCAGCAAUUACGGACUAAAAAUUAUCCAAACUAACAAUCAAUUACCUUGCAAUCAAGAAUCAAGUGACCAAUUUGAUCAAAACAACAAAGUAACAAUGGAUUCAAGCACCAAAUUGUAUGAAUAUUGAACAAACCAAAGACAAAUAGUUUAUGUUCAGAUCUCACAAUCCAUAAAACAACCUUAGUUUCAAUCAAUCUUCAACUAGAAUUAAAGGUUUCAGCCACUCAUGGCUGAAACAAAACAGAAAAUAAAAGGAAAGAACUAGAGAAGAUGAACCGAAUUGGUGGAGAAGCUUGCUCCUAGCCUUGGCCGAAUGGGAGAGAUGGAAGGGGAUGAAUGGAUUCUGCCGUGGCUGGCCUUUUAGGAAUCUUUAAAUAUGUUUCAAGAUGCUGACCUAGGGUUUCUUGGCUGUCCAUGAGUUUUUUAAGAGGCUGCCCAAAUUGCCCUUGACUUUUGCUUGCACUUUACCUUGCCGCCCAUGCACAUGUGUGAGGGUGUGGCGUGUGGCUUGUUUUCAAUUGCAAGGAGUAGAACUUUUGGUCUUUGCUUGCUGCCCUUGUGUCUUCAAGAUGCUGCCCAAGGUGCCCAAGACUUGCCUUCACACCAUUCUUGCCGCCCAUUUAUAAAUAAAGAAGGUGGAGCCUUCCUUUGCAAUUUGAAUUUUGAAUGUGCAAAGUAUGUGUGGCAUGUGUGACUUCUUUGGCUUCUUUGGUAAGCUGAAUCUUGAAAUUCAAAAUUUGAAUAUAAAUCUUGAAGAUUUGAAUUUCAAAAUACUUUCCUUAUUUGGCUCUUCUUUCAUGGCAACUUGAGACUUGGCUUCUUGAAAGAGGAAAAGGCUACUUGGAGAUUUGAAAUUUGAAUUUCAAAUUGCUUUAGCUGAAUGUUUUUUCCUUCUUUGCCACUUUUCUUAUUUAGAACUUUCCUUAUUUAGAACUUUCCUUAUUUAGCUUCACUUGAUUUCAACUUGGCGGGCUUGCUCCCUUUUGCUCCAUUUAAGGCAGUUUUAAGGGUAUUUUCUUCAGAAUGUCCUUUUUCACUAAUAUUUGCAAAAUAAUAUCAGAAGCACUAAAUUAAGCAGAAAUCAUGUAAAUAAUCAUCAAUAAUAUCAAGACAAAAUGGACUAAGAUCUCAUAAUAGAAAAGAGUAUACCUCAUAUCAGUUCAAUAAAUUUUGUGAAGAGGCAGGGAUCGAGCAUCAAUUGACUACUCCAUAUACUCCUUAGCAAAAUGGAGUAAGUGAGCGAAAAAAUAGAACUAUAAUGGAGAUGACUCGUUGCUUGUUGUAUGAGAAAAACCUUUCUAAAAAGUUUUGGGCAGAAGCAGCCAAUACUGCAGUUUUUUUAUUGAAUAGAUUGCCUACUAAAGCUCUCCAGAAGCAUACUCCUUACGAAGCAUGGUAUGGUCACAAACCCUCUCUCACAAAUCUGAAAGUGUUUGGAUGUUUUUGUUUCUCUUAUAUUUCUCAAGUUAAAAGAGAUAAAUUGGACAAGAAAUCUGAGCCUAGAAUUUUCAUAGACUAUAGCAGUGUCUCAAAGGCCUAUAGAAUAUUUCAGCCACAAAAUGAGAAUAUCAUAAUAAGUAGAGAUGUUUUUAUGGAGGAGGACCAAUGGAAUUGGAGUGCAUGUGAUGAUAUUCAACAUUUGAGUAUGCAGCAGCCCACUGUGGAGGAUGUUGAUGAACAACCAGUUCGUGGUACACAGUUGCUAUCUGAAAUCUAUGCAAGAUGCAAUGAAGCAUUAUUAGAGCCGACAAGUGUUGCUGAAGCAAUGAUGGAGCAAAAAUGGAAGCUUGCCAUGGAAGUAGAGAUGCAAAUGAUUGAAAAAAAAUAAAACCUGGAAGCUUGUUGAGAGACCUCAAAACAAGAAAAUUAUGGGGUGAAAUGGGUUUUCCGAACAAAGCUUAAUGCUAAUGGAUCAAUAAAUAAGCAUAAGGCAAGGCUCGUUGUGAAGGGCUAUGCACAAGUCUUUGGUGUGGACUUCUCGAAGACUUUUGCUCCUGUUGAAAGGCUUGAUACUAUAAGAUUAUUGUUGGCUAUGGUAGCUCAAAAAGGCUGGAAGGUGUUUCAGUUAGAUGUCAAGUCUGCGUUUUUGAAUGGUCCUUUGGAGGAAGAAAUUUAUGUCGAGCAGCCAGAAGGUUUUGUUGUGCAAGGGCAUGAAGAUAAAGUGUAUUUGCUUAAAAAGGCAUUGUAUGGCCUUAAGCAAGCACCAAGGGCUUGGUACAAUCGUAUGAAUAAUCACUUGCUAAGCUUAGACUUUGUGAAAAGUCUUAGUGAAUCAACUUUAUAUAUAAAGAAAAAUGGUGCUGAUUUGACCAUUGUUUCUAUUUAUGUUGAUGAUCUUCUUGUUACAAGAAGCAAACAGGAGCUUAUUGACUGUUUUAAGGCUGAAAUGUUCAAAGAAUUCAAAAUGACCGACUUUGGAUUGAUGUCUUAUUUUCUUGGUUUGGAAGUAAGACAAAGGAAGAAUGAGAUCUUCAUCAAUCAAACCAAAUAUGCAAAAGAGAUCCUAAAGAAGUUUCAUAUGGAAGGGUGUAAGCCAAUUGACACUCCUAUGCAGCCUAGAGUAAAAUUCUAUAAAGAUGAUGGUGCUGUCAAAGUGAAUGAAAAUCAUUAUAGAAGUUUACUUAGUUGUCUCAUGUACCUCAUUGCCUCCAGACCUGAUAUAACACAUGUUGUUAGCCUCCUCUCUAGAUUUAUGCAUUGUGCUAGUGAGGAACAUUUACAAGCUGCAAAACGUGUUGUGAGAUACAUAAAGGGAACAAUUGAUUUUGGAGUAAAAUAUGCUUGCUAUCAAAAUUUCAAGUUGGUUUUUCUGACAGUGAUUGGGCAGGUUUAAUAGAUGAUAUGAAAAGUACUACAGGUUUCUGCUUUAAUUUUGGAUCAGGUGUGAUCAAUUGGUAUUCCAGAAAGCAAGAAAUCAUUGCUCAAAGCACUGCAGAGGCUGAAUUUGUUGCUGCAACUGCUGCAGCAAACUAUGCUUUGUGGCUCAGGAAAAUUCUCAAAGAUUUGAAUGAAGAACAGUUAGAGCUAACGCCAAUCUUUGUUGAUAAUCAGGCAGCCAUAUCAAUCUCAUCUAAUUCAGUAUUUCAUGGGAAAACAAAGCAUUUUAAGAUUAAGUUCUACUUUCUGAGGGAAAUUCAAAAAGAAGGAGAAGUGUUGUUAGUUUAUUGUAGAAUUGAGGACCAGGUCACUGAUGGUUUUACUAAAGCUUUGCCUAAAGCUAAAUUUGAAGAUUCAAGAAAUAAAAUGGGAGUUUGCAGCAUCAAAGACAAAGAGGAGUGUUAGAAAUUGUCUUAGAUACUACUGAUUUGCUAAAGUUGUUAAACGUGCUGUGUAGUUCCUAUUUUUCUGUUUAGAUGGUUUGUUAAAUGACUUGGUUUACAAUCUGUAACCAAGUUGUAGGAAAUUUGUUAUUUAUUUUUUCUGUUAAGCAUGUUUGUUUCUAUGUUUUGAUUAUGGGUAGAAUUAUGGGCCAUGAUCUUUUAUCAAUUAUUUUUGUUUUAUAUUUAAAACAGUAUUUUCUUUCAAUGAAUUGUGUUGUGUGGGGUUCAGUUCUGUCCAUUUCUGUUUUUGUUAGUUUUUGCUAACAAGGACCAAAACCUUAGUAGAUGGUGCAAAGGGCAUAGGUGGUUAAAUUAACAGAGAUUGCAGAUACAUAAACCUACCACCAUGUGCUGCCCUUGCCCUUAUUGGCUCCAUACAAGCGGAAGAGGCUGAAAGCUGAGAUACAAGACAGUGCCACCAUGCUAACACUUACCAACAGUGAACUUGCUGUUCCCUCCCCAACUUGGUUGCAGAAUUUUCCAUACAUAUUGCAUACCUUCAUCCAUUGUAGUUCUGGUUGUCCUAACUUCGCAAAUACUGAAGACUGUGCAGCAGCUGCAACUGCUGCUACUGUUACGUAUGCCAUCACCUGCACAAAUGGCUUAAUGAGUAAGAAUUAGGUGGCCUUAUGUUUCAAAAAUUAGUCCAGAAAAUAUUUUUCAAAAAUUUUAGUUGCAAUGUGGAAAAAUAAAUGCAGGUAACAAAUUUAUAGUAAUAAGAUUUUAGAAGUCCAAAAAAUUGAUUUUUUUUAAAAAAAGAGCAAGUCAUUUUCUUUAAAAAUUAUUAACUAAUUUUUCUGAAUGCUUUAAAUGUCAAAAAAUGGGAAAAAAAUAUGUAUAUAUAUUUAUAUUUUUUUCUCAAAAGUAUUUUACAGCAUUUAGUACUUCAACAUUAUGGAGCCUUUCCAAGCCUCUAGCUCAGAUUUAUCAUAAACCUUUUAAAGGAAAAGAAUGCUGAAAUGAAUCAUUUGUAUCAUAAAUAAUAGAUCCCACUACUAGACUACUACUCUCUCUAUAAACAGAAUCCUUGAACUUUUUCACUACAUAACAUUGAUUCCACUACUAGACAACUAACUUCUCCAUUUCUGAGUUAACAACAAGCACUACAGAUUCAUCUUUGCCUUUUCUUUUUCUUUCUUUUUCUACUGCAAAAAGCAUACAAGUUAUACUCGCUCCAUAAUUUGAUCACUGUGUUUAAACUGAAAGGAGUCGGACAGGAUCUGGAUGACAUUCAUCACUAAUAAAAAAAAAAUUUGAAAAUGGAAAGAUACUAUAAUGUAUUAUGAAGAAGGCUGUUCAAAAUGAUUCCUUUUACAAGACUGAUUUACUUCAAGAUCUUAAGUUGAAAUCUAAAAGAAGAAUGUGAGACAGAAGAGAAUAAAAGAGUUGAGGCUAAAAGUACAACUACUCCAGCAAGUUAACCGGGCUUUAGCCAAUUCAACAGUUCUGUGGUUGACAAAAUAUACAAGGCGUACAACCAUAGUUGUAAAAUUGAGAAUUGAAAUUUUCAUUUUGUGAAUCUUGAAUCAAGAAUCGAAUCUUACGAUUCAGAAAAACAUAUUUAAAAAUUAAUUAAAAAUAAUAUAUGUUCUAAAAAUAAGAAUAAAAAUUAUCAUAAUCACAUAUUUUAAUAAAUAUAGAAUUAUUAUUUAUAAUAAUAUAUUUUUAUUAUAUUAUAUAGUUUUAUAUUAUAAAUUAGAAGCUCUUAAAUUAUAAAUAAUGAUUAUCAUUAUGUAUAUACUGAAACUCUCACUUAAAUUUAUCAAAUAAUUAAAUAAUAAAAAAGUUAAUAUGUUACAUUGAAACAUUACAAUAUAUUAAUAUAAGAGAGAAAGGGAAAGGGAAAAAAUGGGUGAUGGAAGAAAAAUAGAUUAGCAAAAAGUUUAUGUGCACUUUUUAUAGCAAAAAUAAAUGAAUUAUGAAACUAAUACCCUUUCAAAAUAUAAUCCCUUGAAUUGAAUAAAAAUUUGGUCUUUUCAUAACGAUUCACUUGAUUCAUUAUCAAUUCUUUCAAUUUAGUCUCAAUUUAGGUAUGGUUUGCGUCAUAGAUGCGAAUCGCUUGAAUGUGAAAUAGAAUUGAGAAUCAUAAUAUUUGAAUCAAGAAUCAUAAGAUCAAUUAUAUUUAAGAUUCGCCAUAUAAAUUCAAAUCGAUGUGGUAGAAAAUAAAUUUGAAUCAUAAGAUUCGAAUUGAGAAUAGUGGGUAUACAGAUUAAACCAUUUGUCAUUAACAUAUAUAAGGUGUAGAGAAGAGGACACCUAGUUCAUUAAUAUAAAUCAUCAUGUUACAUUUAAGAUUGAGAAGCAGCUAAUAAUUCCAUCAGAAAGUAGGUCCAGCAAUUUAGUUACAAGGGAGACUGAGUGGGUGAUGUUUUGGAUACUUGUUCAAUUAUUGUUGAAGCAGGAUCAGACUUGAAGUUGAGGAUGCAAGCAAAUUAUCUCCAACGACAAGAUAAGAUAAAAGAAAACCACGAGUAUGGACCAAAUCGCACUACAACUGAGCUGCAAGGUGUCUAGAUCAUAUAUCUAAUAUUUGUGUUUGUGGAAGUAUUUUCAUAUCUUUAUAAGAAUUUAGUAUUUUAAUCCGUAUUAGCCAAAGAUUGUAGCUAGAGUUCGAGUAAAAGGAGAUUUCGUGUGAAAAGAAGGAUUUUGCAAAAAUUUUAUAAAUAUCUAAAAAUCAAUGUGUAAAGAGGGUUUGGUCUUCACCUUGAAGAAACUUUUAGGGGAACGAAAGAAUGUAGGUGGGAAAGGGCUAAACCUCUAAACUUCUAUUUGCAAUAUUUUCUAACAAUACUGUCUAUUUUUAUUGAACUUGUGCAUGCGUUGCUUAUACUGUGGUCGCUGAGUAUUAAUAGGAAAUUAUCUUUAGAAGAUCUUAUUAUAUCUGUGUCAAAUUUUUCAGAAACAUAAUUUACUCCCUUCUUGGGUUACCUUCGAGCCUUGUAACUGCCAUGAUAAAUGUUUCUAGUCCCAUGGAUACCAACUAUUAAAACCUGUACAAAGCUGCACUAAUCUCAAAAUCAAUAUGAUGGUGAGAAUAAGAUAAAAGUCACAAUGAGAGAAGAUCAUUCCACAAACAAGCCAAACCACCAUCCGAAUUAGAAUCCCUUAUGACAAAUAUAUUCUUAUACCCAAACAUAUACUUAGUACACCUCAUCCUCUCUUAGCCAACUUAAAUUUCCAUGAGAGAGAAUAUCAGAAACUUGAGGCAAAUACAAAUGCCGAAGCUUAGCAACAAAUCAAUAGUAUUCUCAGUUGAGAAAAUUGAAGAGAGAUAAGAGCAUAGUAAGACUUGAUAAUAGUAUCAACAUAUGGGAAACAGGAACAAAUAGUUGAAUAUAUUAAUCGCAGCCAAGGCUAAGGAGACUUGAUCAUCUUCGUUUGCAGAUCAUUUGCAUCCUUAUAUUAACUUGUUAUGCACUUAAUAUUGUGGCCCAUCCUUAAGGUAAGUGUUGUCACUGUGUAUCCAUAUACUUUCUGAUUUCAUAUUCCCUUGUAAGACUUCAACAAUCUGUAUCAAGUAGCAAUAUUAGUUAACAACUAGGGAUGACAUGGAUGAUAAUUAACUUAAACAAAUUAUUUUUUUCAAAUUUCUGUGAUUUUUUAAAUAUUAAUAAUUUUGCAUCAACUUGCAAAUUAUGUAUAAUUGUUUCCGUAUAUAUGAAUCCUGUAAUUUAAAAAAUAGUAAUAAUAUAUUUAGCCAAUACUUAAAAAAUAAUUAAAGGUAGGUCUAUUGAUUUUAUCAUACCUGACUUAAUUUUGGACGAGUUUUCGCAGGUUUGUAUACACAAGCUGCAGCACAAUGAAUCAUUUGAAUCAUUUCAAUUAUUUCACAAUUGUUCUGCAAUUUGACAUCAAUAAUACUGUUGUAAUUAUGUGUAUUAAAAGCUUCUGCGAGUUGAGGUGCCACCUGAAAUUUUAAGAUAAAAAGUAUUAGCGAUAAUUAUAUAUCUCUUAUCAUAGAAAUAUAUAAUUUUAUUCAAACGUUAAUAUAAAAAUAAUUAAAACAAUACUAACAUAACAAAAAAUUUCAUGCUUGUUUACAUGUUUAAUUUCAAAAUAAAUCAAUUACAACAUUAAAAUGGCAGAACUAAUUUUGUUUUGAAAAAAAAAAAGAUAACAUAAAAAUUAUAUUACUCUUAAAUUAACAACACUGUAAUGCUAAUAUUCUAUCCAAUCAAACAUAUUUCUAUUCGGUAUACAAGAAUCUAAACUUAAUGUGUAUAUUUCAUCUUAGUUUUGCUUAUCUUGAGGCCCUUACUCUUGAGAAUCCUUAUCCAUAACUCCAAAAUUAACUCAUUGAUUAAAUUUAUCCACUGAGACAACAAAAUUAUAAAUAAUAUACAUCAUGGAACAUCAUAUUUAAAAUGUCUAACCAUAACUAAAAUUAUUAUAUCGAGACUUAAAGUUGAUCUCUAAGGUAAACCUAACAUUAUUCUCUCGUACAUGUCCUUAGUAAUUGUUAUAGAUUAUAGGAAGUAAAUAUUCUAAUAUAGGAAAUAAAUAUUAAUAAAUGUAUUAGUUGCUUAAUCUUAGGAAUUUCAUAAACAUAAGUUUGAUUUUCUUUCCUUUCUAGAUAUGAUUUCUCAUGUAUAAAUAUGUUGUAAUCUUUAUUGUAAGAAGAAUAACAAAUAUUACCUUUCUACAUUGUAUCAGAGCCUCUCAUGUGAGAUUUGAAUUUUUUUUCCUGUUCUAUUUGGAGACUCGGGACUCCUGUUCUUUUAGGUUAUCUAUAGAGGGUAACAUUUAUCUCUCACCGCUCACCCAGGAAAGACGCGGGAGCGCUGGCGAAGCGUCCCUAAAGAGCCGACGGUUGUCCGGCCAGCGAGUGAGUUUCACACACCGCGGUAAGAUUUCUGACGGUCCCACUCAUCAGCACGUGGAGGUGCGUCGCAUGUCCGUUGCUACUCUGGUCACCCUCACCGGAGUCGCCUCGAAGCCCCCUCAGUAGUUCUGCAGUCUGUUUGCCGAUUAGGUAUUGAGUAUAGGUGUUUUUAGGUUUGGAUCGCAUUCUGGCACUAUUCACCUCCAUUCUCUGGUACUGUUCACGCCUUAUUUCUUAUGAUUGCCAUUAUUUUGGUUGGUUGUUCUUAUGGCUGUAAUUAAAAACACCGUAGCUAAGGUAAUUUUGGUGAUGACUAAAAUCACGGAAUACAAAUUAAAUAGAUCUAAUUUUAUGGAUUGGAGUAAAACUAUCCGUAUUUAUUUAUAAAGUAUUAGAAUGGAUGAUCAUCUUACCAAGAAUCCUCCAAUUGAUGAAACUAAGAAAGAUAGGAUAAGGGAUGGUACUCGAUAAUUUUUGCAGAUCCAAAAUUCUAUUCAUAGUAAGGUAAUCAGCCUCAUUAAUUAGUAUGAAUUUGUUAAAGAAUUAAUGGAUUAUUUGGAUUUUUUAUAUUCUGACAAAGAGAAUAUUUCUCGUAUUUAUGAUAUGUGUAAGGCAUUUUAUCAAGCUGAGAAAUAUGAUAGAACUCUGACCUUCUAUUUUAUGAAUUUUAAAAGAGUGUAUGAGAAACUUAAUGUCUUGAUGCCUUUCAGUACAAAUGUGAAAACUUAACAAGCUCAACGAGAGCAAAUGGCUGUUAUGAGCUUCAUUGCAGGUCUUCCUCCAAAGUUUGAGAUAGUUAAAUCUCAAAUUAUUUCUUACUCUAAAAUAUCAUUGUUACAUGAUAUUUUCACUAGAGUGUUGCAUACAAAGUCUCCAAUUCCUUCACACACCACUAGUACUUUUGUUAGUCACAAUGACAGUGGAAGAUAAAAUAACAGAGGUAGGUACAAGGGAGAUUUUAACGGUGGUAGGGGAUCUGAGCGUCCUUGGAAAGCAAUUCCUACUUCUGACUCCGGUGGAAUCAUUUGUUAUUACUGCCGUGAACCUGGACAUACUAAGAAGACAUGCCUGAAACUUCAAAAUAAGAAUCAGCGCUUACAAAUGGUGCAUAUAGUAGUUGAGGCCUCUUCUGAUCAAGAAAUUUUGAUAUCUGCAGAUGAGUAUGCACAAUUCACUCAAUACUAGGCACCUCUGAAAUCCUCCAACUCUUUUAUCACUGCAAUUACUAAGUCAGGUAACUCUACUACAUGUCUUGUAUCUUCAUCCUCCAAAUGGAUUAUUGAUUCUGGCACUACCGAUCUUUUGUCAGGUAAUUCUACACUUUUGUCCAAUCUUAAGUCUCAUGCAUCAUCUUCUUAUGUUACUUCUUAUGUUACUCUUGUUGAUAGCACUAAAUCUUCUAUCAUGAGUUCUGGACAUGUCAACUUAACCCUUUCUCUUUAUGUAUCCUCUGUGUUAUGUCUUUCUAAGUUCUCCUUUAAUUUGCUUUCCGUUAGUAAACUUACUCGUGCACUGAAUUAUUGUGUCUCAUUCUUUCCUGAUCAUUGUGUUUUUCAGGAUCUUUCAACAAAGCAGAUUAUUAAUAGAGGGCGUGAAUCAGAUGGUCUUUACUUCCUGGAUCAAUAACUACCUAGAUCUCUUGCAUGUUCCACGAGUGUAACGUCUUUUGAUGUUCAUUGUCAUUUGGGUCACCCUUCUCUCUCAGCUUUGAAGAAGUUAUGUCUAUAGCUUCACUCCUUGUCUGUUUUAGAUUGUGAGUCUUAUCAUUUGCCAAAUGUCACCGUUUACCUAUAGCGUCUCGAGUCAAUAAACGGGCUUCAUUCUCUUUUGAGUUAGUACAUUCAGAUGUUUGGAGUUCUUGUCCUAUUGUGUUUAAGUCUAGCUUUAAGUACUUUAUUACUUUUGUUGAUGAUUUCUCUCGCACUACUUGGUUAUUUCUAACGAAGAGUCGUUCAGAAUUAUUCUCUAUCUUUUGUGCUUUGUAUGCUAAAUUCCAAACUCAAUUAAAUAUUUUCAUUUGAAUAUUGUAAAGUGAUAAUGUUAAAGGGUAUCUUUAUGUGGAAUUUCAAUUUUAUUUGUUACAAAAAGGGAUUCUUAAUUAGUUUUUCUAUGUUGACGCUCCUUCAUAGAAUGGGGUUGCAGAAAGAAAAAAUCAACAUCUUCUUGAAGUAGCUAGAGCCCUCUUAUUCCAAAUGAAAGUACCUAAAUACUUUUAGGCUGAUGCUGUAUCCACUGCUUUUUUUUUAUCAAUCGCAUGUCCUCCUCCGUCCUUCAUGGUGAUAUCGCUUAUAAUAUUUUAUUUUAACUAAAUCAAUAUUUCCUAUUGAGCCACGUAACUUUGAUUGUACUUAUUUUGUUCAUGAUGUUUGUCUACAGGUUACUAAAUUAGAUCUCAAAUCACUUAAAUGUGUCUUUCUUGGCUACUCUCGACUUUAAAAAGGGUAUCGUUAUUUUUUUCCUGAUCUUAAUCUGUACUUUGUGUCUGUUGAUGUAACAUUUUUUGAUUCCACUCUAUUCUUUUGACUAUUAUCUGUUUAUGACACCCAAGGAAAGGAAAAUAACCUCUUGUUAUGCACUGUUCGCUCUCUGACUCCUCAGAUUCUUCCUGCACCUUCCGCUCAUGUGCUUGGUCGCGCUCCCAUUUUUCAUGUUUAUUCUAGAUGCUUAGAGGACUCUGACUCCGCUCCACUACUAGCUUCUUCGUCGACAGACCUUGCUCUCACUGAUCCUUCACCGUCUGAUUUAGAUUUACCCGUUGCUCUUCGCAAAGGUAAAUGUACUUGCACUCAUUCUAUUUCAUCUUUUGUCUCUUAUAGUCAAUUAUCCUCUUCUUCUCAUUGUUUUGCCACUACUUUAGAUUCUAUUUCAGUCCCCAAACUAUUAUUGAGACUUUAUCCCAUCCUGGUUAGCGUGCUGCGAUGGAAGAAGAAAUAAUGGCCCUAGACAUUAAUGGUACUUGGGAGUUGAUAUCCUUGCCCCUAAGGAAAUGGGCUAUUGGGUGUAAAUGGGUGUUUGCAGUGAAAGUAAAGUCUGAUGGAUCUGUUGCUCACCUUAAGGCCCGUUUAAUGGUCAAGGAUUAUGCUCAAACUUAUAGAGUUGACUAUUUUGAUAAUUCUCUCUAGUUGUCAAGCUCGCAUUUGUUCCAUUAUUUAUUUCCUUGGCAGCUACACAUGAUUGGGCUUUGCAUCAACUGGAUAUUAAAAAUAUUUUUCUCCAUGAUGACCUUCAGGAGGAGGUUUAUAUUGAGCAACCACUUGAUUUUAUUGCUCAGGGGAAGUUAGGCAAGGUUUGUAGACUUCGAAAAUCCCUCUAUGGCUUGAAACAGAGAUUUCGGGCAUGAUUUGGCAGGUUUAGUGAGGUAGUCCAACAGUUUGAAAUGAAGAUGAGUAAGUGUGAUCACUUAGUGUUUCAUAGAAAUUCUAAUAAUAGAGUAAUUCUGCUUGUAACAUAUGUGGAUGAUAUUGUUAUCAUAUGCUUUUUUAAGUCGAUGAAUAACAUGUAUAAUUCUUCUUUAUCUUCCGAUAAAUUACCACUAAACUUCUUAAUAAAGAAAUAGAUUUUAUUGUAAAUCUAUCGAAUUUUCCCUACUUUUCCACUAUGUCCUUUUAAGAUACUAGUUAAGUCCAAACAAUGCUUGAACUUGCUCACAAUGAGAGAUUUAGUCAUCAUAUCAAUUGGAUUUUCUACAAUAUCAAUUUUCUUAAUAAAAAAUAUUACCCUUACUGAUAAUAUCACAAACAAAAUAGUAUCUCACAUCAAUGUGCUUCGUCCUCUCUUGAAACAUUUGAUCUUUUGUCAAAUGAAUAGCACUUUAGUUAUCGCAAUGGACGAUAGUCACCUAUUGACUUGUAUUGAGCUCACCAAAUAAACCUCUUAACUAAAGAGCUUCUUUUAUAGCCUCAGCUAUUACCAUGUACUUUGCUUCAAUAGUAGAUAAUGCAAUUAUAGGCUGUAAAGUAGUUUUUCAGCUAAUAACAGUAUUGCCAAGAGUAAACACAGCCUGUAAUGGAUAUUAUUUUAUCCAUAUCACCUGCAUAAUCUGAAUUAACAUAACCGACAACAUUGUUCUUACUCCUUUCAAAGUGUAAAGAAUAAUUAAUAUUGCCUUACAAAUAUCUCAAAAUCCACUUCAUGCUUGCUAAUUUUCUUUUCAAAAUUAGAUAUGAAUCUACCAACCACACUAAUUGCAUGUGAAAUAUCAGGACAAGUACAGAUUGUAGCAUAUAUAACACUACCAACAGCAUUGAGGUAAGAAACAUUUGAUAUUUAUUCAAUAUCUUUUUCUGGCUGAGGUGAUAAAGCAGCUGAUAAUCUAAAAUGACCACCAAGUGGAGUACUUAUAAGUUUCACAUUUUUCAUACCAAAAUGCUCUAAGACAUUCUUAAUAUAACUCUUCUAAAUUAGACAUAAUAUACCCAUAGUUCUAUUUCUUUGAAGCUGCAUACCUAAAAUUUUUGUUGUUGCUCCUAAAUCCUUCGUCUCAAAUUCACCACUCAACUCAUUCUUUAAUUUAUUGAUCUUAGACAUAUUCUUGGCAGCAAUGAGAAUAUCAUCAAUAUAAAACAAUAAAUAAAUGAAUGAACCAUCAAUAAAUUUUUUGAAAUACACACAACUAUCAAAUUGGCUCCUCGAAUAGUCAUAUUAAACCAUAAAGAGUCAAAUCAUUUAUACCACAAUCGAAAAGAUUGUUUCAAAUUAUACAAUGACUUCUUCAGCAGUCAAAUAUGGUCUUCUUUCCCUUCAACUUCAAAACCCUCAAGUAACAUUUAAAUCGUCUCUUUCAGGUCACCAAUCCAGUUGCCCUAGCUCUAAAUUACAUAUGGCAACUAAUGCAAGCAAGACAUAGAUAAAGCUAUGUCUAAUAACAUGUGAGAAAAUAUCAUUAAAUUCAAUCUCGCAAACCUAACUAUAGUCCUUUGCUAUCAAUCGUGCUUUGUAUCUAGCAUCUUCAAUACUUGAAAUUCCCUCUUUCUUCUUAAAGGCACAUUUGCAUCCAACAAUUUUCUUAUCUUUUAGUAGUUUGGCCAAUUCCAAAAUCCUGUUCUUGUAGAGAGAUUUCAUCUCCCAUUUCAUGGCAACUAACCAUCUAGCUUAAUCAUCACAAGAGAUUGAAUAUGAGCAUGUGAAAGAUUCACCACUAGCUUCCAUUUCUUAUGUCAUUGACAUUACAAGAGAAACAUAAUUUGUAUGAAGCAACUUGCUAGGUAAUUUCCUCUAUCUUUUGGGUCUUAGACUUUCUUCUUGUUGUAAUGUUUCAGUCUGAACAGGAGAAGAUAACUGAACAGGGACUUGUUGUGAAGAAUUAUCAUGUGUAGGUGCAGACUCCACCUCUAACUCAAUCCUAUUAACUAGAUCCAUUGAACUCGUGUUUAGCUCCACAAUCGAAUCUUUUAAACCUGAAUCUGAAGAAGCAAACGAUUCCUUAAACAUCUCAUAUUCAUUAAAUUAAAUACGACAUCUCUACUGAUCACUGAUUUUGACAGAUCAUGAUCUAGAAGUCAUACUUUGUAUCCCUUGACACCAGAUGGAUAACCAAUAAAAAUACCUUCUAUGGAUCUAGCCUCCAAUUUUUCACUAUUGGUAUGAAAAUAAACAGGACAACCAAAUACCCUCAAAUAGAAUAACCAGGAGAGUUACUAGACCAUACUUCUUUGGAAGUCUUUAAUUCAAUAGUUGUGGAUGGAGAAUAGUUCACCAAAUAGUAUACUAUAAUAGUUGCUUCUAUCCAAAAAUCCCGAGACAAGCUAAAAUUAGACAACAUAUAAUUAACUUUUUCUAACAAAGUUUUGUUCAUGUGCGCUGCAACACCAUUAUGCUGUGGAGUCCCUCUGUCUUUGAGAUGCCUAAAAAUGCCUUCAUCUUUGCAGAACUUGUUAAAUUCACUAUCACAAAACUCUAGUCCAUUAUCUGUGCGGAGCCUUUCAAUCUUCUCACCUAUUUGCUAAAAGGAAGGAAAAUAAGCAAAAAUAAAUCUAGUUACAACAGGCCACAAAUUUUUUGCUACAAUAGAUUUCCUGCUUGGCUAGGUAUCAUAUAUCAAAUUCACUUCUCUGUGAGCAUGUUGAAUACGAAAGGUAAGAAAGACUUUAGAUAAGCUAAUGAUAGAAUUGUGCAUUGAGAAAACCUCCAAAGAUAUUUAUCUUGGGGAGACACCCGAGAAACUGCAACAAUAGAAUUAGAUUCCACAAGACACCAUGCAUUAAGGACCAAACAUCUCAAUGAGGAGCUAGAAUACUUAAGGCCUUUUCUAUUGUAAGAAGUUCAGCUACAUUUGAGUCUACAAUACCAACAGGACAUGAGAAAACACAUAUAAACAUACUAUGUGACUCACAUAGCACACCUCCAAUAGCAGCUGACCUGACUUCCAAAUGGAGGAACCAUCAACAUUCCAUUUAAUCCAAAAAGGAUCAAGCUUAACCCAAAAGAAAUUAGGCCUAGGCCUAGCCUAGAGCAAUAAGAUGACCACAUCUGAUAGCUUCAAAAGAAAUUAGAAGAUUUAAACUAGAAGAAGGAAAAGAAGCGUCCAAAGCUUUCAUCCAAAUGGACGCACGAUGGAGGAUAGGAGGGCGUAAGAAAUCCAUAUUAAGAUCUUUUCCAUCAAAAUUUUCUCUUUUCUAGUCAAGUACAGAGACCAUAUUAUAGCAUUAGCUAGUAACAAGCAAAACUUAGUUUGGAACUUCCCAUGAGCCAAGAAUUUCUAUUCGGAUAAAAGCAAAGGGACUGAACUUGGUUAGUAAAAGUGAAUGCCCCAUCAUUUGAGAAAUCAUGUACAAAUCUCCCUAGAAAGAUGGCAAUGGAGAAAAAUGUGAGAAACUGAUUCUUGAUAGAGCUCGUAUCUAGGACCAUAGUAUUAAGAAGGUAGAAUAUUUUUAUUUUGGACAAAAAUAUUAUUGUAAUGUCCAAUAUCAUGGAACUAACAUUUCAACUAGGAGGCUCCAUUGCAGAGGUAACCUUCCAUAACCUCUGUGUUCUCAAAGCUUAGAAGUACAUGAUCUCCACCUACUCCUUCCUCAGCAAAAAGCUCAUGCAUAAUAGGGAUGAGGUUUUUAUCAUUUUGCAAGAGUAGAUUUUGGUAACCAUUCACUAUUAAAAGAUUUUAUGUUCUCCGAAAUCUCAUACCUACCACAGACAAUAUAUGAACUGCCAGUGAAGGAUCUCAUCUCAAGACAAAUAUCAAAAGGUGGGACAACUCUAUCUAUCUUUGUUCGAGGAACAAAAAAUUGUUUGUAUUUGAAGCUCCACAUUGAUUUUGAUUAUGGCUACCGUUAUAAUCAAGUUUUGAGUUACCGAUCUUACCAUUCUUGGUAGUAAUGCUGAAGUAUGACUUGAAAGCUCGUAAUUUAAAGGUGUUGAUCCAAAGAAGAUUAAGGUUCGAAUAAGAUUUCACAUUACUGAGAUAGUAUGGACUUUUAUAAAAGAAAAAUGCUUCCCACUCUUGUUUAACUUUCUUAGGACAAAAAUAUCUGCAACGUGAGCAAACUUGAAGAUAAUCUUGCACAGCAAGGCAGUCACAAAAACUAGGUAGGUUUUCAAGAUAGAUAGUGGGAAAAAGUCUUCUUAAGGGAGGGGUUGAGAUGACCAUUAUGGGACGAUUGAGUGGAAAAAUGGAGUUAAUAGAUAAGUAAGGAAUCAAGUUUUUCUUUUUUCGAUCUACGAUAAAGGUAAUACAAGCUCAUUAAGAGAGAACUUGAAAAUCUUUUGAGUUAAGUACUCAAUAACUUUUAGAAAAAUUCUAUCAUAUCUCCUUUAUUAAUUUACUGCACUUAAAUAGCCAAGGCAAAAGACAACCUCAUCUUACAUAUAAGGAAACUCAAAAGUAUGAACUAAACAUGGAGGAACACCUUCCUACGAUUAAGGAAUUAAAAGCAACAACUAAUUAUCUGGAGAAUAUGGUUGAACUAAACCCACAGAAUAUGGCAGCAGCUCAAUCAUGUUGCAAGAAAACAAGAAUUUCUGAAUUGCCCUGUUUAGUGGCUUUGACCCGGUCUUGUAUUUCAAUAUUCUUCUUCCUCCAUGUGUGAAACUCGUGUAUAUUAGUAAGGGUUUGCUAACAACUGGCUAAUUGGGAUGGACCAAGGGUAUGAUAUGAAGGAGAGACUAGGUUGGCAGUGAUGCUGGAGGAAGAGUUGAUAGGGACAUGAUUUUUUUUUUUUCCAGUUAAGAUUAUAUAUAUGAAAAUAUGUGAAUAAAAUAUUAAAAAUAAAGGUUCAUGAAAAUAACAUUAUAGCAAACAUUCAUUACUAAAAGAAAGUUUGUACUAGUUGUAUGUUGUUACUUUAUAUAUUUUAACUGUAGCCAUAUGUUAAUAACAAGAGUUUGAGAAUUGCUAUAUCUACCUCUGCUACUGAAUAUAAGACGGUGAUUUACUUAUUUUUUUUUUAUAAUGAAUAAAAAACAUGGAUAAAAUUAUAAUUUUAUUAAAUAUAAAAUUAACUUUAUAUUAAAAUAUAUUACUAAUAAUAAAACUAUAAAUUUUCUUUAUAAUAAUUUUAAGAGAUAAUUUUACACCCAUUAUUGUUGUCUAAACUCUAAAAUGUAACCUCUAAAAUGUAACCGUGAUUUAUUUUGUUAGAAUGAGUUAUAAAAAAGUAUAAAAACAUGCAUGUCUGAACCAAAUAAAACGUAAUAUGUGAAUGAUUUAAUGAUUGUUAGAGUAAAUAAAUACUAUUAUUUAUUUACUCUAACAAUGAUGCAUGGAUUUUUGUAAUCAAGAAUGUAUUAACCGUGAUAAAUUAGUACUCUAGAUAGUGGAACAAAUGUAUACACGUACCCAAGCAACUAAGUUCAUGGAAAAAUUGCCUUCCCUUAUUACAGAUGGUUUUCCAGUAAUCAAUUCUAGAAGAACCACACCGAAGGAAAAGACAUCAACUUUUUCACUGAUCUUGCCAUCUUUGAGAAACUCAGGAGCCAGAUAACUACAAUUGGGGAACACAAGUAUGAGAAGAACCUAUUCGAUAAAUAGUGUGUAUAUAUAUAUAUAUGCACCUUACCCACGGUUUUCCAUUGCCUUAUUAUAAAUAUAGGCAACUAAAUAUGGAUGUUCUUGGGCAAGUACAAAACCUGAAAUCUGGAAUGAAAGAAUUUAUACAAGUCCAAUUAUUUUUUCAAAUAGCAUAAAAAUCAAAUUAUUGGCUCUAUUUUAUAUUUCAAAUUGAACUUAAUGAGUUUAUAAUUGAUAAGAAUUACUAUAAAAGAAACUUAUUAUAAUUAUUCUAAUUAUUGAGAAUGAAAACCAUAUUAUAUGUUUUAACAAUAUACAGUUAGACUCGGCUGAAAAAAAUUUAAAAUAAUUUAUGCUAAAUGUUUCAUACAAUAAUAUUGUAGAAUACAUCAUUAACAAAGCAAACUUUUAGUGUCUUUUGUUUUUGGAAAAUAUUUUCCUCAAAAUAUAUUUAAUAUAUUUAAGGUUUAAACCAUUUAAAAAGUAGGUCAACGAUAUUUUAAUUAAAGAAAAAACCAAGUCUCUUUUUUUUUGUGAAGCUAGACUCUAAGCUUACAUUUAAUUUAUUAGGUUAACUCUGGAAAGAUUUGUGUAAGCUGGUAAGAUACAAAUACUGUUGUAUCGACUGAUGAAUGAAUAGAGCUGAUUAUAUAGAAAAGAUUUACAAGUUUAAAAUUUGAACAUUAACAUAAAAGAAUAUAAUAUUAUCAUAAUUCUAACAAGCUUAUUUUUCAUUUAUUCAAAUUGGACUGCCUUCAUACCCUCCAUAUUUCAUCAAUCUAGUUCAAAUUUCAGAAACAUAUAUACGUAUAUGAUUAAGAUUCUCAAGAGAAAUUGUAUGACAUGUAUAUAGAGAUAUUAGCAACAAUUAUAGGAGCAUGCAUCAAGUUUUAUCUCCCUUAACUUGCUAACAACCGGCUAAUUGGGAUGGACCAAGGGUGCAAUACGAAGGUGUGGAGAGACUAGGUUGGCAGUGAUGCUGGAGGAAGGGUUGAGAGGGACAUGAUUUUUUUUUUUUUUCCUAGUUAAGAUGAUAUAUAUAAAAAUAUGUGAAUAAAAUAUUAAAAAUAAAGGUUCAUGAAAAUAACAUUAUAGCAAACAUUCAUUAUUAAAAAAAAAGUUUAUACUAGUUGUAUAUUGUUACUUUAUAUAUUUUAACUAUAGUCAUAGGUUAAUAACAAGAGUUUGAGAAUUGCUAUAUCUACCUCUGCUACUGAAUAUAAGACGGUGAUUUACUUAUUUUUUUAUAAUGAAUAAAAAAUAUGGAUAAAAUUAUAAUUUUAUUAAAUAUAAAAUUAACUUUAUAUUAAAAUAAAUUACUAAGAAUAAAACUAUAAAUUUUUUUUAUAAUGAUUUUAAGAGAUAAUUUUACACCCACUGUUGUUGUCUAAACUCUAAAUGUAACCUCUAAAAUGUAACCGUGAUUUAUUUUGUCAGAAUGAAUUAUAAAAAAGUAUAAAAACAUGUCUGUCUGAACCAAAUAAAAUGUAAUAUGUGAAUGAUUUAAUGAUUGCAAUGAUGCAUGGAUUUUUGUAAUCAAGAAUGUAUUAACCGUUAUAAAUUAGUACUCUGGAUAGUGGAACAAAUGUAUACACGUACCCAACCAACCAAGUCCAUGGAAAAGUUGCCUUCCCUGGUUUUCCGCUAAUCAAUUCAUGAAGAACCAUACCCAAGGAAAAGACAUCAGCUUUUUCACUGAUCUUGCCAUCUUUGAGAAUCUCAGGCCUGGGGAACACAAGCAUGAGAAGAACCUAUUCAAUAAAUAGUGAAUGGAUAUAUAUAUGCACCUUACCCACGGUUUUCCAUUGCCUUAGUAGAAAUACGGGCAACAAAAUUUGAAAGUACUUGGCCAAGUUCAAAACCUGAAAUCUGGAAUGAAAGAAUUUAUACAAGUCCAAUUAUUUUUUCAAAUAGCAUAAAAAUCAAAUUAUUGGCUAUAUUUUAUAUUUCAAAUUGAACUUAAUGAGUUUAUAAUUGAUAAGAAUUACUAUAAAAGAAACUUAUUAUAAUUAUUCUAAUUAUUGAGAAUGAAAACCAUAUUAUAUAUUUUAACAAUAUACAGUUAGACUCGGCUGAAAAAAAUUUAAAAUAAUUUAUACUAAAUGUUUCAUACAAUAAUAUUGUAGAAUACAUCAUUAACAAAGCAAACUUUUAAUGUCUUUUUUUUUUUUUUGGAAAAUAUUUUCCUCAAAAUAUAUUUGAUAUAUUUAAGGUUUAAGCCAUUUAAAAAGUAGGUAAAUGAUAUUUUAGUUAAAGAAAAGACUAAGUCUCUUUUUUUGGUGAAGCCAGACCCUAAGCUUACAUUUAAUUUAUUAAGGUUAACUCUGGAAAGAUUUGUGUAAGCUGGUAAGAUACAAAUACUAUUGUAUCGACUGAUGAAUGAAUAGAGGUGAUUAUAUAGAAAAGAUUUACAAGUUUAAAAUUUGAACAUUAACAUAAAAGAAUACAAUAUUAUCAUAAUUCUAACAAGCUUAUUUUUCAUUUAUUCAAAUUGGACUGCCUUCAUACCUUCUAUAUUCCAUCAAUCUAGUUCAAAUUUCAGAAACAUAUAUAUGUAUAUGAUUAAGAUUCUCGAAAGAAAUUAUACGACAUGUAUAUAGAGAUAUUAGCGACAAUUAUAGGAGCAUACAUCAAGUUUUAUCUCUCUUAAAACUUACCUUUGGUUCAAAGUUAUUGUCAAGAAGAAUAUUAUGAGAAGUGAUAUUUCCAUGUAUGACCAUAGGAGUACCUAAAAAUACACGAAUCAUAAAAUUAAAGUAAAACAUGCAAUCUCAAACAUGAAAAUAGAAUUUGAUUUACACUCACAAAAUUCAUGCAAAUAUGCCAAUCCUUUCGCACAGCCUAUGGCAAUUUUCUUUCUUCUAGACCAAUCGAUUGUUUUCUUGUGUCCUGCAUCUAAUCAAAUCUUAUAAAUGAGUACCCUUUUUCUAUUUAGAUAAAUGGAAGGCAUUUGGAUAAUCCUUCACAUAAUUAUCUAUCAAUUUUUGUAUGAUACGUAUAGUCAAGGACUCACCAUGUAAAUGAAAUCUCAAUGACUUGUUAGGAACAAACUCAUAAACAAUAAAUUUAUCAUAUUCUUCAUCGCAAUAUCCAAUCAGCUUGUUUAGAUAUUGGUAAUUGUGAUUGAUGGGAUUAACCAUUUGUUCAACUUCCAUCUGUUCACCCUCCCAAAGAUAAAGCUUGUUAAUGGCAACAGCCAUUCCAUCGAGUUCCCCCCUGUAAACUCUAGCAUAAUUAUCAUCGCGAAGCAUGCAAUUGUUGGAGAAAAAUUGAGUUGCAAUUGCUAGUUCUUCAAAAGAAAACAUUCUCGGCGAAAAAAUUUGUGCCCUCUCAAUGCCAAGUAGAGAUUCUAGACUAGUAGUAGGCCUUCCUGUAUGUGCAGUAGAAAUGUUAUACAAAUAUAUAAGCAGACAUAAAUUGAUAUAUGGAGUUCUAGUUGGGUUUACAACCCUAUUAAUCAUGGGUUGGAUAAACAACAUGAAUCCAAUAUACAUUUAAGUUUAAUAUAUUUACUCCCUCAAUUGCAUCAAUAAUAACAAUUUGAUUCCGUAUUUUGAAAUUAGUGUAUCUUUUGAUUUUACUUCAGCCACACACUUGAAUCCUUCUGUCAUGUGCUGUUAGUUUUUAAAAAUAAACUACUAUUUAAUUUUUAAAUUUUGUCAUUAUUUACAGUUUCAUUCCUUAAUUUUGUAAUUAGUUAUAAUUUUAUCCCUCAUAUUUAUCUCUUUUACCAUUCUCACUUUCUUUAUCACUCCCUCCAUCUAUAUAUCUGUCUCUUCUCUAUGACAAAGAAGAGAAAAGAGAUAAAGUAGAUGAAUGAAAUAUGAAUAAUUUCAAAAUUAAAGAAUGAAAUUGGAAAUAGUUAUAAUAUUAAGGGACUAUAUAGUAAUUUCGUAAAAUACUAACGCAAAAUGGACGAAAGUAUCUAAGUAUACGACAAAUUUUUAGAAAAUAUAUCUAAUAAAUGAAUGGAAAAUGGCUUAAGGAAUUUUUAGAAAAUAUAUGUAAAGAUGAGGAAUUUUAUGUAAUUUCAAAGAUGGAGAUUUUUAUGUUAGCAUACUAAAGAUAAAGGAGCAAAGUGUAACAAACUCUAAAUUUGAAAAGCUGAGUAUAAAUUAUCCAAAAUUUAUAUAUAUUAUUAAAUUCAUGCAUCUGUUUAUCCUUAAAUUUAUGCAUUUUAAUUUAUCAUGUGUUAAUAUUUUCAAAAAACAGUAAAAAAUAGUCAUAUCUCUAAUUUUGUAAACUUUAUAUUAUUACUUAAGUAAAAUUUGAAAAUAAAAAUAACUUUUUGCAAAUUUAUAAUUUUAAUGAAAAGUCACUAAUUAAAAGUAAUAAAGUCGCAUAUAUAAUUUCAAUUACCCUGUAUAGUUUCAAUGUCUUUCCUGUCUAUUAUCUUCUCAUGCGAAAUAGUUCCUUCAAGAACUCCAAUUAUCUGCAUGAGAUAAACUAAUUCAUGAAUGAAACAAAAUACGAUUAUAUUAAAAAAAUAAAAUAGCUUAUAAUUUUAUCAAAUUUCAGCAAAAGACCAAAUAUAUUUACGUGUAAAAUUAUUUAUUUGCAUAAUAUGAAAGAACAUUUUUAAAAUAAAAAAUGAUAAUGAUUGUGCAUAUGUGUAAUAUUUAGGAUAAAGAAAAGCAAACCAAUAAUAAUUUGAAUGAAUUAAAUAUAAAAAAUAGAAUAAAAAUUGUUAAAAGAUUAUUAUAAGAAAAGAAACAUGUAAAAAAAGUUAUGCAAAAAAAAUAAUAAUUCUACAAGUGUAAUUUUUAUCAAUUAAAUUUAUAAUGUAUUUUAUCAUAACCUGGUACAUGUGUGUAUAUACCUACACCUUUAUUCAUAAGCUAAUCCAGUACUUUUAGAAUCUCAACAUAAUACACCUUUAUUAAAGUUAAAUACUUUAGUCUUUCUAUCCAUUUAACCACUAAUACUUAAGAAAAAAAUUUAAAAUGCCAUAAUAAAAGGAGGUUCACUUUUAAAAAUAUCAAUAAUGAUAAAAUUUAAGAAUUAAAUUGCUAUCUAAUUAUUUGAAAUUUAACUGAUGAAAUUUUUUAAGAAAUACUUAAAAAAUAGAUGAAAUAAUUAAACUAUUUAUCGAAAUCAAAAGUUAAGAAUAUUUUUUUAACAAAUUUUCUAAACUAUAUGAAUAGUUUUGUUAAUAAUCCCUUAAUUUUUUUAAAUCUCUAUAUACAUACACACUUUACCUGUUUCAUUGUUGGACGAGAGUACGAAGGUUUAUAUACCGAAGCUGCUGCACAGUAAAUCAUUCUUAUCAUUUCUUUCUUGUUAUACAUAUCUUCCAAUUUUGAAUCGACAAGAUCGGUAUAAUCAUCGUUGUCCAAAGCUUGUCCAAUCUGAGAUCUAGCCUAAAUGUUGAUAAGUGAAAGUAUUUGUUAAUUUUUUUUAUAUCAAUAAAAGGUUUUUUUGAAUGCAUAUUUAGUCUAAUGUCAAGAGCAAUAUACGAUUUGAUGAAUUUGAAAAAUUUUAUAAACUAUUUACAAUAUAUUAAAAUAUGAAUAGAAAUGUAUAUGCCACUCUUUGGCAUAGAGUUGACACCAAUGAAAAUGGGACUACAUGUUUUUCAAAAAAGAAAAAAAAAACAUUAUCCUCUUGUUUGGAAUAAAAAAUUUCAUAAGAAAUCAAUUCAAUUCAAUUCAAUUCUUUUCUACAAUUUUCUUGUUUGGAAGGGAAGAAUUAUUUAUUUCUUAACUUACAAAAUUUUCAUUUUCAAAGAAAAAUAAAAUCAUACAUAAUUUUAUAAGAAUUCAUUUGAAUUAUUUUUUUGCAAAAUGAAUAUAUCAACAAAGGAGAUAGGCUUCUUAUCAAGAGCACACAUGCAAUAUAGCAAUGAGAUUACAACCCUCGCUAUUCCAAGUGAAAAGCUACACACAAACUAUGGAGAGGGCUUAGUUUGUAUUCUACAAUCAUGUGUGACUUGCAAUACCUCACACUUACCAGGCUUGACAUGUGAAAGUUUGUGAUUGAGGAUUUCUAGUUUGUUCAUUGUGCAACAAAAGUGCACUAGACUACUAUGAAGAGGAUGUCGCACUACCUUUAGGCAACUCCAGAGUAUAGGUUGCACAUAAUUAAAUCAUCAAUCCCCUGGAUCCCUACUUAUAUAGAUGCUGAUUGCGAUUUUUGUCUUGACGAUGACAAAUUUACAACAAGGUACUCCAUAUACUUAAAAAAUAAUAUUGUGUCAUGGCCAUCUAGGAUUUAGAAGAAAAAACCAUUGUAGUUCGUUUAUAAAAAUUGAGAAUUGGGCUAUUUUGACUGCCACAACAACGGUAUCUUGGAUACAAUAGUUGAUCCAUGAAAUAUUUGUGCAAUCAAAUGAAACUUCAGUAUGUGAUAAUGUAGGUUCAACUUAAGAUAACAUAAAGGGAGCUACAAUUUCAAUACAUCUCCUUGCAAGACUAGUUGGCCAAUAUUCUAAUAAAGUUAUUAUCUAGGGUUGUAACUGAAUAAAACUCCUUGUGAGCUAUUUAAGGCUUGACUCAAUAAAGAUUUGACUUAAGUUGAUUCUUUUUCUAAGUAAGCCAAGUUGAAGACUUAAGUUUUAGACUCGUUUAAUAAACUAGCUAAAAUCGAGCUUUUAAAUAUUCAACUCAUUAAGACUCGAAAGCUCAUUUGUUUAUAGAUUUACAAGUCAACUCAUAAAUAUACAUAUUUAACUGAAAUUAUUUAGUUUGAAACUAAUUAUGUUUAAAUUAAAACUUGUUGAGGUUGUAAAUGAAUCGAACUUUUUGUAAGGUAUUCGAGACUUGGCUAUCUAAACUCAUUUGCUAAAUAAAUCAAGUUUGAACUUAUUAAUACUCAAUUCGAG
rnacentral:lncRNA from 1 species